ACCCCCUGGCUAUGGACAAAGAGACACCUGUUUGGUGGUGGUGCUCUUAUAUCAGUCAGGGACAAAGCCAACUUGGAGUUCUUUGUUCAUCCUAGCCUGAUGCCUAGAUUGUGGCCAGAGCUGUUUCAUUCUUAGGGCACAUUA
ensembl:snoRNA